rnacentral:rRNA from 1 species
CCUACGGGUGGCUGCAGUCGAGAAUCAUUCACAAUGGGGGCAACCCUGAUGGUGCGACGCCGCGUGGGGGAAUGAAGGUCUUCGGAUUGUAAACCCCUGUCAUGUGGGAGCAAAUUAAAAAGAUAGUACCACAAGAGGAAGAGACGGCUAACUCGGUGCCAGCAGCCGCGGUACUACAGAGGUCUCAAGCGUUGUUCGGAAUCACUGGGCGUAAGGCGUGCGUAGGCUGUUUCGUAAGUCGUGUGUGAAAGGCGCGGGCUCAACCCGCGGACGGCACAUGAUACUGCGAGACUAGAGUAAUGGAGGGGGAACCGGAAUUCUCGGUGUAGCAGUGAAAUGCGUAGAUAUCGAGAGGAACACUCGGGGCGAAGUCGGGUUCCUGGACAUUAACUGACGCUGAGGCACGAAGGCCAGGGGAGCGAAAGGGAUUAGAUACCCCUGUAGUC